GACGAACGCUGGCGGCGUGCCUAAUACAUGCAAGUCGAACGCAGUGGGGACGGGUGAGUUACCCGUGGGUAACCUCCCAUCAGAGGGGAUAACACUUGGAAACAGGUGCUAAACCGAUACUGAUGGAUGGACCCGCGGUGGAUGAGCGAGUUGGUGAGGUAACGGUUCACCAAGGCCACGAUGCAUAGCCGCGCUGAGAUGGUGAUCGGCCACACUGGGACUGAGACACGGCCCAGACUCCUACGGGAGGCAGCAGUUGGGAAUCUUCGGCAAUGGACGAAAGUCUGACCGAGCAACGCCGCGUGUGUGAAGAAGGUUUUCGGAUCGUAAAACUCUGUUGUUAGAGAAGCGGUAUCUAACCAAUAAGCCACGGCUAACUACGUGCCAGCAGCCGCGGUAAUUC
rnacentral:rRNA from 1 species